GUGGGGAAUAUUGGACAAUGGGCGAAAGCCUGAUCCAGCCAUGCCGCGUGUGUGAAGAAGGUCUUCGGAUUGUAAAGCACUUUAAGUUGGGAGGAAGGGCAGUAAGUUAAUACCUUGCUGUUUUGACGUUACCGACAGAAUAAGCACCGGCUAACUUCGUGCCAGCAGCCGCGGUAAUACGAAGGGUGCAAGCGUUAAUCGGAAUUACUUGGCGUAAAGCGCGCGUAGGGGGUUUGGUAAGUUGGAGGUGAAAUCCCCGGGCUCAACCUGGGAACUGCCUCCAAAACUGCAUGACUAGAGUACGGUAGAGGGUAGUGGAAUUUCCUGUGUAGCGGUGAAAUGCGUAGAUAUAGGAAGGAACACCAGUGGCGAAGGCGACUACCUGGACUGAUACUGACACUGAGGUGCGAAAGCGUGGGGAGCAAACAGGAUUAGAUACCCGAGUAGUCC
rnacentral:rRNA from 1 species